rnacentral:rRNA from 1 species
AGAGUUUGAUCAUGGCUCAGAUUGAACGCUGGCGGCAUGCCUUACACAUGCAAGUCGAACGGCAGCACGGGUGCUUGCACCUGGUGGCGAGUGGCGAACGGGUGAGUAAUAUAUCGGAACGUACCCUAGAGUGGGGGAUAACGUAGCGAAAGUUACGCUAAUACCGCAUACGAUCUACGGAUGAAAGUGGGGGAUCGCAAGACCUCAUGCUCAUGGAGCGGCCGAUAUCUGAUUAGCUAGUUGGUGGGGUAAAAGCCUACCAAGGCGACGAUCAGUAGCUGGUCUGAGAGGACGACCAGCCACACUGGAGCUGAGACACGGUCCAGACUCCUACGGGAGGCAGCAGUGGGGAAUUUUGGACAAUGGGGGCAACCCUGAUCCAGCAAUGCCGCGUGAGUGAAGAAGGCCUUCGGGUUGUAAAGCUCUUUUGUCAGGGAAGAAACGGGAUUUUCUAAUACAAAGUCCUAAUGACGGUACCUGAAGAAUAAGCACCGGCUAACUACGUGCCAGCAGCCGCGGUAAUACGUAGGGUGCAAGCGUUAAUCGGAAUUACUGGGCGUAAAGCGUGCGCAGGCGGUUGUGCAAGACAGAUGUGAAAUCCCCGGGCUCAACCUGGGAAUUGCAUUUGUGACUGCACGGCUAGAGUGUGUCAGAGGGGGGUAGAAUUCCACGUGUAGCAGUGAAAUGCGUAGAGAUGUGGAGGAAUACCGAUGGCGAAGGCAGCCCCCUGGGAUAACACUGACGCUCAUGCACGAAAGCGUGGGGAGCAAACAGGAUUAGAUACCCUGGUAGUCCACGCCCUAAACGAUGUCUACUAGUUGUCGGGUCUUAAUUGACUUGGUAACGCAGCUAACGCGUGAAGUAGACCGCCUGGGGAGUACGGUCGCAAGAUUAAAACUCAAAGGAAUUGACGGGGACCCGCACAAGCGGUGGAUGAUGUGGAUUAAUUCGAUGCAACGCGAAAAACCUUACCUACCCUUGACAUGUACGGAACUUACCAGAGAUGGUUUGGUGCUCGAAAGAGAACCGUAACACAGGUGCUGCAUGGCUGUCGUCAGCUCGUGUCGUGAGAUGUUGGGUUAAGUCCCGCAACGAGCGCAACCCUUGUCAUUAGUUGCUACGAAAGGGCACUCUAAUGAGACUGCCGGUGACAAACCGGAGGAAGGUGGGGAUGACGUCAAGUCCUCAUGGCCCUUAUGGGUAGGGCUUCACACGUCAUACAAUGGUACAUACAGAGGGCCGCCAACCCGCGAGGGGGAGCUAAUCCCAGAAAGUGUAUCGUAGUCCGGAUUGUAGUCUGCAACUCGACUACAUGAAGUUGGAAUCGCUAGUAAUCGCGGAUCAGCAUGUCGCGGUGAAUACGUUCCCGGGUCUUGUACACACCGCCCGUCACACCAUGGGAGCGGGUUUCACCAGAAGUAGGUAGCCUAACCGCAAGGAGGGCGCUUACCACGGUGGGAUUCGUGACUGGGGUGAAGUCGUAACAAGGUA